UACGUAGGGUGCAAGCGUUGUCCGGAAUUUAUUGGGCGUAAAGAGCUCGUAGGCGGCCAGUUGCGUCUGCUGUGAAAUCCCGGGGCUCAACCCCGGGCGUGCAGUGGAUACGGGCUGGCUAGAGGCAGGCAGGGGAGAACGGAAUUCCCGGUGUAGCGGUGAAAUGCGUAGAUAUGACAUAGAACACCGAUUGCGAAGGCAGCUUACUAAGCAAAUAUUGACGCUGAGGCACGAAAGCGUGGGGAUCAAACAGG
rnacentral:rRNA from 1 species